UACGUAGGGUGCAAGCGUUGUCCGGAAUUAUUGGGCGUAAAGAGCUCGUAGGCGGUCUGUCGCGUCUGCUGUGAAAUCCCGAGGCUCAACCUCGGGUCUGCAGUCGAUACGGGCAAACUUGAGUGUUGCAGGGGAGAAUGGAAUUCCUGGUGUAGCGGUGAAAUGCGCAGAUAUCAGGAGGAACACCGGUGGCGAAGGCGGGUCUCUGGGCAACAACUGACGCUGAGGAGCGAAAGCGUGGGGAGCGAACAGG
rnacentral:rRNA from 1 species